UGGUAACAGGCUGAAAACAAUACAACGCAGUAGGCUGCAAACAUGAAGUCAGUGAACCUGUCCUUAGGAAACCCCGUCCUUGUGUCUUCACUAAAAGAAAUGCUAAUUAUAAAAAGUCACACAGCCAUGACUGUGGAGUGGAACAGGUCAGAGGACGUCACAAGAUUUUAAAAGAACACCAUGAAAACCUUCCAAAUGUCAACCUCAGCAGACACAGUGACCACAGGAACUGGAGCAGAACAACAGCCACAGCUGAAACACAGCAUCCUGACAGGACCACACAAACC